CCGGUGAGACUCUGUUUACUUGCUCUUCCUUGCAUGACUUUUGUUGGUGGUCUAAACCAAUGGAAUUAUAUGAUCUAUCCCCAGAAAAUUCUUUAUUCAUACAUGGGGAUGGUUCUAGCGUGUGAGUUGCAUGGGUAAUGUUAAACAAGGCACCAACCAAAAACAUCUUUUGAUUGUCUAAACUUCCAGGAAAAGAAGAUGAUGCUUGGAGAGUAUGAGAUAUGCA
rnacentral:lncRNA from 1 species